GCAAAAUUUUUAAGCGCAGGGUACUUUUAAAUGAUAUUAAUUUUUAAAUUUAUUGAAAUUGGAGCAAUUGCGUUAUUUUUGAUAACGAAUACUUCUAAUAGAAACCAAUGAAAUUUAUAUUUCACAAAUUUUUAAGUUACAUUUUUUAAGCGACUAUAAAGUGAUGUUAGUGAUUUAGAUCUAUUGAAACUGGAGCAAUCACAUUAUUUUUUUAACAAAUACUUCAAUUACGAAAAUUUCAAAAAUUUUUAAGUUACUUUUUUAGCACAGAGACAACAUUUAAGCGAUAUUAGUGAUUUAGAUCUAUUGAAACGGCAGUAAUAGUAUUAUUUUUUAACGUAAAUUUCUGUUAUAAACCAGUGAAAUUAACAUUUCACAAAUUUUUAAGUUAUUUUUUUUUUUAAGCACAAGGGGACUAUAAAGUGAUGCUUGUGAUUUAGAUCUAUUUAAAUUGGAGCAAUCGCAUUAUUUUUGUUAAUGAACGCUUCUGCUAUAAGCCAACGAAAUCAAUAUUUCAAAAUUUUUUAAGUUAAAUUUAUUUAAGCACUGUGCAACUUUAAAGUCCUGUUGGUGUUUCAAAAAUUUUAACUUAGUUUUUUUAAAGCACAGAGACAAUAUUAAAAUGAGACUAGAGAUUUAGAUGUAUUGAAAUUGGAACUCCAGUAUUGUUUUUUUAGCGAAUACUUCUGUUAGAAGCCAAUGAAAUUAACAUUUAAAAAAUUCUUGAGUUUUUUUUUAAGUAUAGGGCAACUAUAAAGUGAUGUUAGUGAUUUAGAUAUAUUGAAAUUGGAGCAAUCGCAUUAUUUGUUUUUAACGAGUACUUCUGUUAUAAGCUAAUGAAAUUAAUAUUUCAAAAAUUUAUUAACUUCAUUUUUUUUAAACACAGAGACAACGUUAAGGUGACAUUAGUGAUUUAGAGCUAUUGAAAUUUUAGCAAUCGUAUUAUUUUUUUUAACGAAUGCUUCUGUUAGAAGCCAAUAAAAUAACAUUUCAAAACUUUUUCAUUUUUUUUAAGCAUACGGCAACUAUAAAGUGAUGUUAGUGAUUUAGAUAUAUCGAACGCGAUAGGGCAACCCUAAAGUGAUGUUAGUGAUUUAGAUCAACAUUUCAAAAAUUUUAAGUUAUUAAACACUAGGAAUUUAUAGCUCUGAAUAAGGAAAAAAGCGCUAAGAAUUUAAAUUCUGAGUGUCAAAUAUUUCACAAGAUUCGUGAGAUAUUCCAGAUUUCCAAUGUCCAAUUUCUAAUAAUAACUAUCUUAGUACAAAAAUGAAUGAAUUCAUUUAAAAAUUUACCAAAGGAACAUUCUUGAGAAUCCUAAAAUUAUAAGCGAUACGCCUCGCUUAUUAACAUAGCUCUUUAAUUUUCGUAAUUAUCAGAGAUAUAUCUUUCCUGAACUUAUCUAAUAUAAAUUUAUUUUCUACUUGUAGUUCAUGUGCUUGAAUAAGUAUAAGCUAAUUUAUGCAUUGUGCAGAGAAAUUACUACCUAUGGAUGAGGUACCUCUAGUGAACAUAUUUAAUGUGUAAUUUAUGUUCAGCUUGUAAUUAGUUAUUACUUGUAUAGUCAAAAGUCAAGCUUUGCUUUAGGUAGAGAAAUUAUUGUCAAUGGAUUUAAAAAAUCCGACGCUUCUUCACAGUUUCUGUGUAUGUUUUCAAGAAUAUAAUCUUAAGAUUUUUGUGGUCUUGAUUAUUAUGUGUUUGUAAAUCUACACGAGAAUGAUUGUAUAAAAUGAAUAAAAUUUAUGUGAUAACUAAA